AUGCUUUUACUCCUCAGUUUGCUCAAAGCGUGAUGAGGGGUUAUGUAUGCACAUGUUCACAAGAAAGGACAAGCAAAAGUUAUAUCGUCACUGAUUUAGUGUUGCAUUACAGUUUCUAGGAAUAUAUAUUAAUGUGAAUGGGGAUAAUGUUCGAGUGCAACAACUAGCCCAACUACCGUUAGUUUUGUUGGGGGAGAGUGCCUCUUUCAGGUGCAGACAUCUCAUUAAAAGAGAGACAACCGGCAGAAUUGUGUCCAGAACCUUGUCUUCCACCUACACCUUUCCAGAACACAAUGCAGAAAGGACCUGAGCCCUAGGACCAUGCCCCAGGACUACCUGACAUGAUGACUCCUUGCUGUCCCCAGUCCACCUGGCCAUGCUGCUGCUCCAGUUUCAACUGGCCUGGGCCCUAGGACCAUGUCCCAGGACUACCUGACAUGAUGACUCCUUGCUGUCCCCAGUCCACCUGGCCAUGCUGCUGCUCCAGUUUCAACUGUUCUGCCUUACUAUUAUUCAACCAUGCUGGUCAUUUAUGAACAUUUGAACAUCUUGGCCACGUUCUGUUAUAAUCUCCACCCGGCACAGCCAGAAGAGGACUGGCCACCCCACAUAUGCUCUCUCUAAUUCUCUCUUUCUUUCUCUCUCUCGGAGGACCUGAGCCCUAGGACCGUGCCCCAGGACUACCUGACAUGAUGACUCCUUGCUGUCCCCAGUCCACCUGACUGUGCUGCUGCUCCAGUUUCAACUGUUCUGCCUUAUUAUUAUUCGACCAUGCUGGUCAUUUAUGAACAUUUGAACAUCUUGGUCAUGUUCUGUUAUAAUCUCUACCCGGCACAGCCAGAAGAGGACUGGCCACCCCACAUAGCCUGGUUCCUCUCUAGGUUUCUUCCUAGGUUUUGGCCUUUCUAGGGAGUUUUUCCUAGCCACCGUGCUUUUACACCUGCAUUGUUUGCUGUUUGGGGUUUUAGGCUGGGUUUCUGUACAGCACUUUGAGAUAUCAGCUGAUGUACGAAGGGCUAUAUAAAUAAAUUUGAUUUGAUUUGAUUUGUUCCCUCAUGUACUUUCUGUGUUGAUUUGUUGUUAAUAAAAAAAAAAAGUUCAAAGAAGAAAAGGCCUGGAAGGAGGAGAGAUGACUGGAAACGAUUUGUUUGACUGUUUUAUGUGUAGACGAAUUGUCGGAGUGUAGGACCUUGUGCAUUUCAGGUCAAAUAACAACUCAAUGUUUUAUAUCCCAGGACAAAUUAGCUAGCAUGUGCAAGCUAUCUAGCUAAAUUGCCAUAAGUGUUUAAUGUUUUUCGACCAGUCCCCAAGUUAAUGUAAUUGGUUCAGAGUUUGUUUUGAUAUUUUAACCUGCGUGUUGUGAUUGUGUUUGGUGUGGGGGGACAAAAUAAAUGUACGCACGAACGCA